UACGAAGGGGGCUAGCGUUGCUCGGAAUCACUGGGCGUAAAGCGCACGUAGGCGGUCUUUAAGUCAGGGGUGAAAUCCUGGAGCUCAACUCCAGAACUGCCUUUGAUACUGAGGAUCUCGAGUCCGGGAGAGGUGAGUGGAACUCCGAGUGUAGAGGUGAAAUUCGUAGAUAUUCGGAAGAACACCAGUGGCGAAGGCGGCUCACUGGCCCGGUACUGACGCUGAGGUGCGAAAGCGUGGGGAGCAAACAGG
rnacentral:rRNA from 1 species